rnacentral:rRNA from 1 species
GAUGAACGCUGGCGGCGUGCUUAACACAUGCGAGUCGAACGAUGAAGCCCAGCUUGCUGGGUGGAUUAGUGGCGAACGGGUGAGUAACACGUGAGUAACCUGCCCUUGACUCUGGGAUGAGCCUGGGAAACUGGGUCUAAUACUGGAUAUGACUUCUCAUCGCAUGGUGGGGGGUGGAAAGAUUUAUUGGUCUUGGAUGGACUCGCGGCCUAUCAGCUUGUUGGUGAGGUAAUGGCUCACCAAGGCGACGACGGGUAGCCGGCCUGAGAGGGUGACCGGCCACACUGGGACUGAGACACGGCCCAGACUCCUACGGGAGGCAGCAGUGGGGAAUAUUGCACAAUGGGCGCAAGCCUGAUGCAGCGACGCCGCGUGAGGGAUGACGGCCUUCGGGUUGUAAACCUCUUUCAGUAGGGAAGAAGCGAGAGUGACGGUACCUGCAGAAGAAGCGCCGGCUAACUACGUG